rnacentral:rRNA from 1 species
CACGUAAGGGGCGAGCGUUGUUCGGAAUUAUUGGGCGUAAAGGGCACGCAGGCGGCCUGACAAGUCUGAUGUGAAAGACCUGGGCUCAACUCAGGGGACGCGUUGGAAACUGUUAGGCUAGAGUAUCUGAGGGGGAGUCGGAAUUCCUAGUGUAGGGGUGAAAUCUGUUGAUAUUAGGAAGAACACCGGUGGCGAAGGCGGACUUCUGGCAGGAUACUGACGCUGAGGUGCGAAAGCAUAGGGAGCAAACAGG